rnacentral:rRNA from 1 species
UAAGGAAUAUUGCUCAAUGGGAGAAAUCCUGAAGCAGCAACGCCGCGUGGAGGAUGAAGGGUCUAUGACUUGUAAACUCCUGUAAAGAAGGAAAAAAUUCCCAUUUGAUGGGAGAUGAUGGUACUUCUGGAGUAAGCCCCGGCUAACUACGUGCCAGCAGCCGCGGUAAUACGUAGGGGGCAAGCGUUGUCCGGAUUUACUGGGUGGAAAGGGUGCUCAGGCGGAUUUGUAAGUCAGAGGUGAAAUCUUACAGCUUAACUGUGAAACUGCCUUUGAUACUGCAAGCCUAGAGUAUGGAAGAGAGUGAUGGAAUAUCUGGUGUAGCAGUGAAAUGCGUAGAUAUCAGAUAGAACACCAAUGGCGAAGGCAGUCACUUGGUCCAUUACUGACGCUAAAGCACGAAAGCGUGGGUAGCAAACA